AGCAGCCGCGGUAAUUCCAGCUCCAAUAGCGUAUAUUAAAGUUGUUGCAGUUAAAAAGCUCGUAGUUGAAUUUCGGGAUCAAUUUAUUGGUCGUGCUAUUGUACGUACUGGUAUUAUUGAUUCCUACCUUCUGACGAACCACGAUGUCAUUAAUUUGGUGUCAUGGGGAAUCAGGACUGUUACUUUGAAAAAUUAGAGUGUUUAAAGCAGGCUCACGCUUGAAUACAUUAGCAUGGAAUAACGAAAUAGGACGUUUGAUUCUAUUUUGUUGGUUUCUAGGAUCGACGUAAUGAUUAAUAGGGAUAGUUGGGGGCAUUAGUAUUCAAUUGUCAGAGGUGAAAUUCUUGGAUUUAUUGAAGACUAACUACUGCGAAAGCAUUUGCCAAGGAUGUUUUCAUUAAUCAAGAACGAAAGUUAGGGGAUCGAAGACGAUCAGAUACCGUCGUAGUC
rnacentral:rRNA from 1 species